AACUGAUACUACCUGCGGGAACCUGCGGAAGGAUCAUUACUGAAGUGAUUUGGGGAUGUUGCUGGCCCUCUCUCAAGGGGGGGCACUGUGCACUCCUCGAAACAAUUCACAAUUUCCAUCACACCCCUUGUGCACACCUUGUAGGCACCCAAACCCACCUCCGGGUGGUGGGGUCCUGUGUAUUCCUUCAUCUCACACUCUGUUGAAUGGUGCCAUGGGACGCAUCUAAAGGAUUAUUUG
rnacentral:misc_RNA from 1 species